GGCAGGAGCUUUCCUACUCAGGGAAGUAUAAUGGCAAUAACACAACCUAUUUUGUUUUUCUCAAGCCUGUGUCUAUUUGAAUGAAGUCCUCUGCGUUUGGAAGGUCAAGCACUGGCAUCAGAACAUCCCAGAUCAGACUUCUCACUGGCAAACGAUUAGGAGCUCAAGCAAUGAGUGCCAUUUUUGCAGAGUUUUCCUACAACAACAGCAACCUGUCAUACCAGACAUCCUUCACUACACUCAGCUCUGGUGCUCUUGAGAGGACGCAGCUCGGUGAUGGGGGGCGAUUAUCCUGUGAGACCGUCUGGAUGUGGAUUGCAAUAGCAGCCACAUUAGGCAAUCUGGUUGUGGUUGGCAUAGUGUGUGCAUGUACCUUCUGAGGGAGCAGGGUCUUUUUCCUGAGUAAGAACCCACACGUAGAAAAGGGCAAAGCGAUUCCCAUCUAUAAAAGUGACAAGUUGUUAUCUAGUGUCUCAAUCCAGAAAGAUUAGUUGGAAAAAGUUAUUUAAGUUGUAAGUGUGGCCUAGCAGUGAGAAUCGGACUGUUGCACUAUGAUAUUGAGAAUGCUGGGGUCCUAUGUGUAAAUAUAGAGAGGGAGGAAGGUAUGAUGGCAAGCAGCUCCUUUCCCAGUAUGUCAAUUAGCACACAGACAAGCAAGCGCCCCAACACUUCUGCUGAGUCUCACAUUUUAUUAGCUUUGUCACAUUCCUAAAACCUUGCCCAGAAAUGUGUCAAUGUUCCCACUUGUUACUUUCAUUGCAGCAACAUUGGAUUUUAGUCUGAAACAGGCCUGAACACACUUUUUUUUUUUUUUAAUUGGGUUGUCCUUUUAGGCUGAUG